UUUAUUGAGAGUUUGAUCCUGGCUCAGGACGAACGCUGGCGGCGUGCCUAACACAUGCAAGUCGAGCGAUGAAGCUUCUUCGGAAGUGGAUUAG
rnacentral:rRNA from 1 species